UCGGUUCCGGUUCACGCCGCAGCCUCCCAGCCCGAAACUCAUCGGUGCGGGUAGGGCGACCCGGGUCC
rfam:Mycobacterium iranicum strain H39 scaffold_40, whole genome shotgun sequence.